rnacentral:rRNA from 1 species
CACGUAGGGCGCAAGCGUUGUCCGGAAUUAUUGGGCGUAAAGAGCUCGUAGGUGGUUUGUUACGUCUGCUGUGAAAACCUAGGGCUUAACCCUGGGCUUGCAGUGGAUAACGGGCAGACUAGAGGUAGGUGAGGGGAGAAUGGAAUUCCUGGAUGUAGCGGUGAAAUGACGCAGAUAUCAGGAGGAACACCGGUGGCGAAGGCGGUUCUCUGGGCCUUACCUGACACUGAGGAGCGAAAGCGUGGGGAGCGAACAGG